AGUGGCGGACGGGUGAGUAACGCGUAAGAAUCUGGCUUCAGGAGGGGGACAACGGUUGGAAACGACUGCUAAUACCCCAUAUGUCUACGGAUGAAACGGUGAAUUCCGCCUGAAGAUGAGCUCGCGUCGGAUUAGCUAGUUGGUGAGGUAAAGGCUCACCAAGGCGACGAUCCGUAGCUGGUCUGAGAGGAUGAUCAGCCACACUGGGACUGAGACACGGCCCAGACUCCUACGGGAGGCAGCAGUGGGGAAUUUUCCGCAAUGGGCGAAAGCCUGACGGAGCAACGCCGCGUGCGGGGAGACGGCCUGUGGGUUGUAAACCGCUUUUCUCUGGGAAGAAUAAAUUGACGGUACCAGAGGAAUCAGCAUCGGCUAACUCCGUGCUAGCAGCCGCGGUAAUACGGAGGAUGCAAGCGUUAUCCGGAAUUAUUGGGCGUAAAGCGUCCGCAGGCGGCUUAUCAAGUCUGCUGUUAAAGGUCGGGGCUCAACUCCGGUUAGGCAGUGGAAACUGAUAGGCUAGAGUGUGGUAGGGGUAGAGGGAAUUCCCAGUGUAGCGGUGAAAUGCGUAGAUAUUGGGAAGAACACCAGUGGCGAAGGCGCUCUACUGGGCCACAACUGACGCUGAGGGACGAAAGCUAGGGGAGCGAAAGGGAUUAGAUACCCCUGUAGUCCUAGCCGUAAACGAUGGACACUAGGUGUUG
rnacentral:rRNA from 1 species